rnacentral:rRNA from 1 species
CGUAGGGUCCGAGCGUUGUCCGGAAUUAUUGGGCGUAAAGAGCUCGUAGGCGGCCUGUCGCGUCUGCUGUGAAGUCCGGGCUUAACUUCGGGUGUGCAGUGGAUACGGGCAGGCUUGAGGUAGGUAGGGAGACUGGAAUUCCUGGUGUAGCGGUGAAAUGCGCAGAUAUCAGGAGGAACACCGGUGGCGAAGGCGGGUCUCUGGGCCUUACCUGACGCUGAGGAGCGAAAGCGUGGGGAGCGAACAGGAUU